CACGUAGGGCGCAAGCGUUGUCCGGAAUUAUUGGGCGUAAAGAGCUCGUAGGCGGCUUGUCGCGUCUGCUGUGAAAACUCGGGGCUUAACCCCGGGCCUGCAGUGGGUACGGGCAGACUAGAGUGCGGUAGGGGAGACUGGAAUUCCUGGUGUAGCGGUGAAAUGCGCAGAUAUCAGGAGGAACACCGGUGGCGAAGGCGGGUCUCUGGGCCGUAACUGACGCUGAGGAGCGAAAGCGUGGGGAGCGAACAGG
rnacentral:rRNA from 1 species